rfam:Glossina morsitans morsitans, isolate Yale, WGS project CCAG01000000 data, contig: ctg10007777
GGCGGUAGGUUUUAGUACGUAGAAAUCGUACUUGUUGCUACUAAGGAACCAGCAGUAUCUUUUGAAGAUUUCCUACCUCC